CCGCGGCCGCGCGGGUCCCGCUCGGCUCCCCCGCUCCCUCCGAGCAGCAGGAGCGGGGACGAACCUCCCCAGACCAUGUGCAGCCCUCAGAGAACAGCGAUCCCUGCCUGAGCCUCGAGCCCAUCCGGCGGCCAGGCAGAGGGUGACGGUCCCCACGACGACGCCCCGGCCUCGACAGCCCUGCAGCGGUCUCAUCAGCGGGAAGCCGAUGCCCCAGGGGUUGCAUUUAAGUGGCUGGGCCGGCCGGAGCGGCCCGACCCCGGGGGCUGCCUGCCCCAGGCCUCUCCCUCGCUUCUCUCCCUCCUCCUCCUCCCGCUCCCGUUCCCGCCGCGGCGCCGGGGCUGCUCCCAGCUUCCCCCCGCAGCGGCCCCCGGGCGCUCCCCCGCCUCACACCCCGCGAUCCUCCGAUCCGCGCUGGAGAUGCAAUUGGCUGAGGAAGGCAAGGCGCUUCCCGGCCGCCGGCCAUCGCCCAGCCGGGAAAUGAGCGCGAUGGGCGGCCGCGGAGCCGCGCAGCUCUGCCCGGCCCGGCCGAUGCCCGGCCGGAGCCUGGAGCCGGGAGCCGAGCCCGGGAUCGGGACAUCUGGCCGAGGAGGCUGGUUUUAAUUGUGAUUUGGCAAGGGAAAUUUCACUUCGGGGUGUUAAAACUGACUUUUUUUGCUCCAAGAAGUCUGGUGAUGUUGCAGGUGAGAAGGGGGAUGGGGAGGAGGGUUGGACAGCAGCAUCUCUGUAUCCCCAGAUAUCAUCUCAGAUGACCACGCUGGAAAAUGAACCCGGUUCCCAUCCCACUGUACCCAACACAUGCACUAGGUGCUCCUCUCUCCCUUCUAUUGUCGUCCAGAGGAGGUCCCCAGCAAUGCUUGUACUUCUUUCAGAAAGCACUGGACAGUAUGAGAUAGCAGGAAACAUGAUUAGAAAACGUGAGUCUCCCAAUCCUGAAAAUCCAUCCUUGCACAGAGGCAUCCUUGUGUAUGGCUACCAGAAGCCAUAUACACCCCCAGGAGAGCUGCCCCUCUGACCAGGGAAAGAGUUACACACCAGAUGAGCCCUUUUGCAGAUUUUCCAUUCUCUUUCUUGUGUUUCCCUCUCCUCAAGUUUUCUUUAGCAGAGUGUGGAUUAAAGAGAGGCAUUUCAGUGUUCUGGUCAGCACAGGCUCCUCAGGGUGAGUGGGAGGAAAGGGCAAUCACCCAGGCAAUGAGGGACAGCUGGGAUCUGCCAGAGCCACCUGCGCUGAGCAGCCACUCUCCCACUGCACUGUAUGGAAUAAUGUGGGUUUCCUUACAUACUGGCUGGCUGUGAGGAGAACAGGGGGGUUCCACGGGGGUCUGGGUAGCUGAAGCACAGCUCUGGGCAGGGAGGGUGAGCAGGAGUGAGGCUUGCGCAGGGUCAGCUGCAGGGGAUCUGCUCUUGCUGGGGCUUUCCAACCAAGGGUGAUGCUCUCAUGUGGUGCCAUGCUCUAUAUAUAUGGCAUUACAGCUUCUUUUGUGCACAUCUCAGAGGGGACUUCUAGGACUUAAGGCAGGCGUUGACAAGAGGCAGUGCAAUCUGCAUGGGCUCCAGGGCCCAGAUUUUGUUCAAGUGCAAAAAAAUCCCCAGCUUCCCCAACCUCUGGUGCAUCUUUUGAAGCUUCAGUGAUGAUACUCAGAUGAAGGGGCAAGGGAAGAGAGGUCAGUGAGGACAUACUGCCCAAAUGUUUGAUCCCACGUAGGUUUUGUCGCCUGCCAUGGCUCCGGGGUUGUCUGAAAGUGUGUUUGUACUCGAUCUGCAGAGGCAGGCCAUGAAGUGCUUCCCUUCCACCUCAUCUAUCUGAGCUGCUUCUGUGCUUUGCCAAAUCCCCUCUGCUGCAUCAGGCCAACAUUGUGCCUGGGGGUCCCUGCUGAAAAUGUAAUUGCAUGAAAAAGUGUGCAGCGCUUCCCCUGGGAGAGAUUCCAUCAGACAAAGUUUCUUCCUGAUCCCAUCACCUCAUGGCAGUUUUAUUCCUCAAAGCAUUAAAGAAGGUCUCAUGGUGAUGUGA